rnacentral:rRNA from 1 species
UACGUAGGCAGCAAGCGUUGUUCGGAAUUACUGGGCGUAAAGAGUGUGUAGGCGGUGCUCUAAGUUCGGUGUGAAAUCUCCCGCUUAACUGGGAGGGUGCGCCGGAAACUGGAGUGCUCGAGCGUGGGAGAGGAAAGCGGAAGUUCCUGGUGUAGCGGUGAAAUGCGUAGAUAUACAGGAGGAACACCUGCGGUGUAGACGGCUUUGUCGGACCUUGCUGACGCUGAGACACGAAAGCGGUGGGUAGCAAACAGG